GGGACUGGCGCUUAGCUGUCGGCAGAGAUACUAAAUCUGCUUUGCAGAUUUAUUCAAUCUUCUGCUGAGGAAAGUCCAUCCACACCUGCCUUGCAGGAAGCAGCCACUUUCGGAAGAAAGUUCCAGCAAUGGAAGUAAACCGCACAGAAACGAGACCUCCCUGGCUAAGGAUGAUAAACGCGAAGUUUCCCGCGAGGGAAAUGAGUUAACCUUUUGACGUUGCCAAGGAAAGGAUGAAACGGCGAGCACUGGCUUGUGCAACCUUUACAGGGCUUAGUUAAAUGCUAAGGCAGAUGAUCGCAACCUUAUGUUGCAAAAAGCAUCUGACAGAAGAUGGCUUAUGCCAGUCCC
rnacentral:RNase_P_RNA from 1 species